UAUAUUUAUAUUUAUAUAUUUUAUUUAAAAUACAUCAAAAUGACAAGCAGCCAUAUCCCACAAGGCCUAAUCCCACAGCAAUGUAUACUACAGACAUCUUCCCAGAAUGCACUGUGGCGGUGGAUGGGGGCUUCUACCCUGCUGUUUGAAGGAAUGGUCUACAUCUGAGCUCUAGCGACUGGAAAUGUGUUAGGAAGAGCUCAUCUUUGGAGCUGAUUUGCGUGCGUGCGUGCGUGCAUGCGAGACCAGCCAGUCUGCCUCUCCAGACUAUGAGAAUACUGAACACGGCAGAACGCACAGGAAGCACCAUUCGGAUGACACUCCCGCAGUGCCCGCACAGGCUUGCCAGAAGCCCCCUGGUUCCAUCCUCGGGAAGAGUUUUGCUUUAAAACAAGUGUCCGUGCUCAGUGGGCCUCCUGCAUGUGUGGUAAGAGUUGGCAGGACGGAGAGGGCCGGAUGGUGACACUGUUGCACAUCGGGUCUGAGGUAACUGGUUCUUAGAGUACCUGGACCACACAAGUGCAUCCAGAUAUUGGGACUGGAACAGGGGGAGCCGGAGGAAGGGGUGGGGCUAGAAAAGAUGGGUUAGAAAAAAGCUUACAGCAGUUGCUUUUGAGGGAGUGGGUGACAGAAAACAAAGGCACAACAGAAUUACAUUCCAAGAUGGGCGGUUGGUUGCAAAGCACAGAAGUGUUUUUUCAUGGGGAACAAAAGUUGUGUGUGUGGAGGGGGAGGAGGAAGGUGCUCCAAGGAUUCGGCUGGAUCAGGAAGGAACUAAGUGUCCCAGGUAGAAAGGAAGGGCGCGUACAACAGCAUUCUAGCCAGGGGGAAGGGAGAACACAGCUGCUUUGGACUGACAUACUAAGGGUCUCUUAGCAGGACCACCCCAUCCAGUGUAGUUCUGUAGCAGCAGGCUGGAGCUGGCAGGCAGGAUGUAGGAACAAGCCUUUAGCUGGACCACAGAUCUGGCCAUGGCUGGCUUGGCCUUUGCAGAAUCCCUCUGCAGGACUUGGAAAGAUGCCCUGCAGUGAGCCUGAGGUUCUGAGCUUCCUCCCUGGUUCCUGAUGGACUCAACAGAGCAGAAGGCAGCCUCUGGGAUGACCCUGACCAAAGCAGGCAAAAUGUGCUUGUCAGCUCCCUGCUUAAUUCCACCAUGAUACCCAUGCGCCCACCGUUUCCAAAGGGCUACUCAGUUUGGUCCUAGACAGCUCUGGCUAGUGGAACUCAGCCACCAUUCCCCAUUCAAUGGCUUCUCUAGCCCGAAUCUUUCUCUAGGAGUGGGGCACGUGGCUUCUGUCCUAACUCCUCCUUCCUACGUAGUCCUCCUACUUUCCACCUCAGAACCCUUUGUUCAGCAGAAAUCAAACCCACUACAGGGCUCCUCCCCUGGCCCAGCCGCUGUCACCUCUACAGGCAGGGAGCAGGACAGACACCACUGCCAGAGGGGGACCCGUUAGCCGACUCCAGGCUGCCAGCGUGUUCAGGAACCCAUGCAUGCACUAAGCUAAGCUUCCCCGCACUCGGCUCCAGUGUGCACAUAAUCCUGCCGGUAAAGCUCAUUGGCUUGGGUUACAGACGCAUCCACACUUGACUCACUAGUUUAUAAAAAUAAUCUGUGGUAUAAAACAAUCUCCACACCUCGUGGAGGCUAUCUGACAAGAGAUAUAACUAAAUAUAUGCAUGGAGCUAUAGACUUCUUAAAGUAAAAUUUCAAGUGGGGUCUGUCAUAGAACCUACUCUUAUUUACAGUGCUAUCUAACAACACUGGUGUAAAGUGACGGGGAGCUGGGAAAGGGCCCGUGCAGGGUGGGCGCCCCAGGACUUGAGGUAACGCUUGUUCGUUCACAGAAACCCACCUUCACGUGCGGGGGGGGGGGGGGGUGUGACGGGUCGCACUUCUCCCAACUGUAAACUCAAAAGCACAAAGUCUACACAUGAACGUAGUAACUGUUCUCUGCGGGUGUUCAGAACACCCAUCUGAAUGGUAUGCCGCGUGCACCCAGACGGGGCUGCACACACUAACUCAGCCUAACAGUAUAGACGCUCGCCUGGAGAAGAGGAGGUCAGUGCAGAGCCCACGACCCCACACUGGCAUCUGAGCAACAUGAAUUUUAACUCUUGAGGGGAAUCAUGGCCCCGGUGCUGCCGUGGAUGGAUGGGGGAAAUGGCGCUGGUUUGAGUACUGAGAAGCCUGGUCCACGGAGCGCCAGGGGGACAAAGUCUUGCUUCCUUCACAGCUGGAAGAUGCUGGCAUGAAAAUGCUACAGCUUGGUUCAGUGGGGGGGAAAGAUGCAGGCAUUCCUGAUCUCGCUUCAAACUGUCAGUCCAACAGUAGUUCACAUUAAUCACAGAUAGGUCCAAACAGCACUAUCCUAAGGGACCCACCAAAGGACCUGGGCAUACUUAUUGAUAUGUUAGUUCCUGUGCCUCUUGAACUCUCUUUCCUUCUUUUUCUUUUCUUUCUUA
ensembl:lncRNA